UUUAUUUGUGGGGAAUAUUUAUUUUGUAUGACAACACUAGACAAACUGAGUGAAUGAAAUCCAUUUUUGACAUCUUCAUUCGUUAUUUGUUCUUGAAAAGUUUGAAGUGUCAAAUUAAUCAAAAUAUAAAUAAAGUUGUUUUUCUCUGUUUUAAUACGGUUUACACCUAUAAAGAUACUAAAAUAUAUAAAUAACGAUGUCAGCAAGCAGCCAACGGGCAAACAAGGACCGUACUAACUUGGCUGAAAAAGAAACCACCAAAUUGAUGAUGCUACUCAAGGAUUACCCAGUCCUAACCUGAAAAGAAAUGGAUCACUCCAGCUAUCUAUAAAAACAAAAAGGGAGAGCGUGAUUUGCCGAAUUAUGCUAAGGAAGAGAAUCGAAAACAUUUGCUGCACAAAGAAGCAUAAUCUCGUACGGGAUUUUACUGUGGGGUCGGGCUGCUGACAUUGAAUCCAUUUUUAUUUUUCAAAAGAAAGCUGUCAGAGCCAGUUAUAAACUUUGUUGUCACGAAUCUGUUAGACAUAAUUUCAUUACUAGAAAUAAAGAUGAAGUAGCUGAACCAUCUUUCAGAUUAGCCAAAAUUCAAACAUCAUUUAUGUAUAUAUUGGGUUAAAAGUUACAAUAAAAUACCCUGUGACAUUAAAACUCCGCAAUAAGUGAAAAUUUACAUUUGUAAACAAGUAUAAUCCAAAUUAGAGGAUUAUAUUCAAGAGAAGAUUGCUGUGAAAUAAACUGGUCCUGCUUCAUAGGAUAAUCAUAGAGCCUUGACAAAAUCAAUUGGUUGCAGAUCUAAAUUUACAUAUUAUUUUUUGUUGUAUAAUACUACAAACACAUUAUUUUAGUAUUACUAACUACAAUAAAGACCUGUAUAGUGAUAUUAUUUUAGGAGUACAUAGUCUUCACAUAUAAUUAUUUAACUUAUGUAUACAAAUAUUCUAAAUUUUAUUUAAAAAAAAAGAACUUAACUGUGGAGUUUCUUGCCCAUUCUUCUCCACAUGAAACUACCUUUUGGAAGCGGCAACUAGAAUAAUCUUUAUUCAAAAGUGCCAUUUUAGGUGGUCUAAUUGGAAUAAAUGAUUUGAUUUGAAGCCCGCCAAAAAUCCAUGCAAGUGAAAUGCAAGAAGAGACAAUUAGGUAGUAAAUAUGUAUUAAAUUGCUGCUUUAAGGUUUCAUGUAUUGUUUUUUUAAUAAAAAUUGUUUGUAUUUAUGUUAUAAUUAAACAUUUUAUUAAUCUA